GAUGAAGAACGUAGCGAAAUGCGAUACGUAAUGUGAAUUGCAGAAUUCAGUGAAUCAUCGAAUCUUUGAACGCAUAUUGCGCUCUCUGGUAUUCCGGAGAGCAUGCUUGUUUGAGUAUCAGUAAACACCUCAACUCCCUUUUCUUUUUUGAAAUUGGAGCUGGACUUGAGUGAUCCCAACGCUUUCUUCCAAGAAAGUGGCGGGUUGCUUGAAAUGCAGGUGCAGCUGAACUUUUCUCUGAGCUAUAAGCAUAUCUAUUUAGUCUGCCUAAAAAACAGAUUAUUACCUUUGCUGCAGCUAACAUAAAGGAGACUAGUUCUUGUGCUGACUGAUGCAGCAUUCACAGAGACAGCUUCGGCUGACUUUGUAAACUCGAUCUCAAAUCAAGUAAGACUACCCGCUGAACUUAAGCAUAUCAAUAAGCGGAGGA
rnacentral:misc_RNA from 1 species